ACGCGACCCCAGGUCAGGCGGGGCUACCCGAUGAGUUUAAGCAUAUCAAUAAGCGGAG
rnacentral:rRNA from 1 species